AGUAAAAUAGUGUUAAGUGCACGUGGAGUUUUGGUCUCUAAAGAGGUAAUUCAAUUUGCCUUUUACUU
rnacentral:tRNA from 2 species